rnacentral:rRNA from 1 species
GACGAACGCUGGCGGCGUGCUUAACACAUGCAAGUCGAACGGAAAGGCCCUGCUUUUGUGGGGUGCUCGAGUGGCGAACGGGUGAGUAACCCGUGAGUAACCUGCCCUUGCCUUUGGGAUAACUUCAGGCAACUGGGGCUAAUACCGGAUAGGAGCUCCUGCUGCAUGGUGGGGGUUGGAAAGUUUCGGCGGUUGGGGAUGGACUCGCGGCUUAUCAGAUUGUUGGGUGGGUAGUGUCUUACCAAGGCUUGGACGGGUAGCCGGCCUGAGAGGAGGACCGGCCACACUGGGAUUGAGAUGCGGCACAGACUCGAACGGUAGGGAGGAGUGGGGUAUAGAGUACUAGGGGCGGAAGGCUGAUGCGGCAAAGCCGCGUGGGGGGUGACGUCCAUGGGGUAGGAAUCCGAAGUCGCCUGUGACGAAGCGUGAGUGACGGUAAUGGGUAAAGAAGCACCGGCUAACUACGUG